rnacentral:antisense_RNA from 1 species
AAACAGAUGACCCAAUGUUGCCUAAGUUAGAACAUGCACCACUGCUGCCCAGGCUCCAAUAAGGGCAGGGUUGGCGCGUGUGGGCUUCUCUAAAGGGAAACAUGGCCAGUAAUUUUAAAAUCCAUCCCCUCUUCAAUGAUAGCAAAUAUAAAAGCAACGGGCUGCAAAGUACACGUAUGUUUAAUGAAAAAUGGAGGGACGUGGUCACAUUAGAUGAAUCUGUACCUUGGGACCACCACACCGUUAGUAUAUAAGACUGGAUUACAAUUAAAGGAUGAGGAAGCUUUCUCAAAGGGUGCUUUGUAUGUGUUUACUAGUUGUGCAAACCAUGAACCUCGGUGAUGUGGUUAAUAGAUCAUGAAAAGGAUGUGGUUUUUGCCCUCGGCUUAAAACAAAGACAGCAAUAAGACUAAAAGUACUUCAGGGCACAUGAGAGCGAAUUUCAAUCAAUACUUAUAGGAGAGGGAAAUUAAUUUUGCCUGAAGAGAAGAUCUGGCCUGGAUUAUGCAUUAAUUAGUAUUAGCUAAAACCUAUGUGGACCCAGCCCUUAUCAUUAAAAUAAAACACUCAAGGGUUUACAAACUAUUGAAAUUUAAGAAAAUGUCUUUGCAAUGAAUGCUACUAAGACUCACUGUUACUGAGUACAUACAUAUCAAUCCCAUAAACUUGACGGGAAACAUUUUACUGUGCUUGUAGAAAGAAGUGACUCAUAAACAGGAAUUCUGUCAUUCUAUCACUUUCAUGAUAGAAUGAUGUGUAGAAUUUGUUUUACAAUACUCCAGAAAUAAAAUGUAGGGAAUGGAAAGAAGAUAGGUGAAAGAAAAGUGGUGCAACAUAAGUCAGUGUUGAAGCUAAGUUCAUUUUGCUACUUUACCUACUCAUGCAUAUGUUGGAAAAUUUACAAAAUGAAAAGCUAAAAGGAGAGCAUCUGCAGCAUAAAAGACAGCCAUUACCAAAGCAUUUCCUAUCUUUAACAAAAACUGAAGUCUUAGCCUUCAGACUAAGGAUGGUAGGAAGAAAGUAGCAAGGAUGUAUGGGACUGAUCUUGCCGUAAGGAGUCGCAGACCAGGCUGUCUCUCUUUUGGCCUGCUGCCAUCCAUGUAAGACAUGACUUACUCCUCCUUGCCUUCCACCAUGAUUGUGGGGCUUCCCCAGCCAUGAGGAACUAAUACCCAUCCCAUAGGUGUACUUGGGAUAGACAGCUUCUGACACUCCUCCCAAGAUCUCUCCCUUCUGGUUACAAAAACCUGAGACUUCCAUUUUGCUGGAACCUUCUUUUCCUCUUGCACACUCACUCUGCGACUCUGUGUGGAGAGCUCCAUGUGACAAGGAACCAAGGGAGGUCUCCAGCCUAAGCAACUGAGACCUCAGCCCAACAGCCCUCAAAGAACUGGAUCUUCAAACAACCACAUGAGUGACCUGGAAGCAAAUCUGUCACCAGUGCUCUUGAGAUGGGCUGAAGUAUUUAAUCACUGGCACAAAAUGUCCCAGUGUUCUGUUCUCUUGCUGUGGAAAUUUUAGAGAAAAGAUCAUGAUCUAAGAGUCUAUAAGACCAGAGCAGCCUGAAUUGCUGAGCUGCCUGGUGGAGAAUAGCAGCAUUGGGUGGUUCCCAGGAUUCUUAAAAGGACUUCACAAAGGCCUGGCCUAAUCAGUUAAGAGCUCUUAAGGAGUGAAUGGGCUCUUCCUGAAAAAAGAGCUUCUGCUAACCCUGAAAAAGCAAGCAACCACCCUGUGAACUGCUAUGGAGAGAGAUGGCCUCUAACAGCUGACGACCUCAGUCCUACAACCACAAGAAACUGAUUUCUGCCAACAACAUGAAUGAGCUUGGAAAAGGCCCCUGAGCUCCAGAUGAGAACACCCAGGUCAACUCAGGUCAUGAGCAGAGAACCCUGUUAUAUUCUCCUUGGCUUGUGGCCCAUAAACAAUGAGAUUAU